ensembl:lncRNA
UUCUUCUGUUUGAUUUCUUUUAUUACAUUGAAUAAAACAUCGGAGUUGUCAACUGCAGCUCUUCUAUUAUAGCAGCAACAUAUGUGAAUGAAAUCAGGUUAUUCUGCCAGGCAAUAAAUAAUCUGCUUCUUUGGAUGAUGUCAAAGCUGCAGCAUUAACAUUUAUUUUACACAACCUAUAAACACACACAGACAAGUGUGAGCUGUAUAUGUAUUUGUGUGUUUAGGUGAUACUUUGCCUAUAAAAAUACAACAGUAGUUUGUAAGAUAAAUGUAAAAGUAAAAAAAAGUAAAAUAUGAAGAACAUUAAGAAUUUGCAACGAGUCGAUCAUCGUCACAGGAUGCUGUUUUUAAAUGUGGCUGGAUGCAGCUCACUGCUAUCAGUUUCCCAGCAUCAGCGUAACCUCCCAACACAACUCAGUCUGUGGACGCUCACACGCAGGUGAGUGCGGGUGGGGGGGGCUAUAUUAAAGGCAAAGACUACAAAAGUCACAGUACAAGAAAAUAUAUGAAGCUAUAAAGUACGACUAGGCACACACAUGCCAACUGUUCAGCUACACGGGAUACUUUGUACAAACGAUACAUCUGAAGAGAUAGUGAGGAGGUCUGUAGCACCUUAAGGAGCUUUAGAAGUGUGUUAGCAGCUUGAUCCAAUACCAAAAUAUAUUGCAGUGUUUUUUCAUAACAUUCAAUAAAGUUCACUGGUACCAUUGAAGCUUAUAAAGAAGUUUGAAUUGGUCUGUGCCUCUCAUUGAAGAGCAUCUCCUGCCUCAGCACGUGCCAGGACCACGCACACACAUGCAUGCGUGCACACACACACACGCUAAAAUACUUGUAAUCAGCUUUGAUCCACUGUUAUUGCUUCUCUGUACCUGGAAUCUGUCGUACAGUCCAUAAGAGUUUUACAUCACAUAGUUGCAGCUUUCAGACAGAGACCACGAGGAAAUCAAGUAAUGUACCACACCGAGGUGUAAAAAUGACAGAAGAGGACACACUCAUGGAGUUAUUGGACACAUCUUAUUUUUGGAACAUCUAAACACUCUGUGACACAGUGAUAUUGUUAAGUAGCUUCGUUUCAGCUUCACCACGGUACACUGUGACGUAAAGCAGCGUACGAACGGUCAAAGGAGACAAUUAAGUCAAAGCUGCAAAGCAAGAGGCCUCAAUGAGAAACACAGAGCAAUUGUGCAAGUAAAGCAAAAAUGACACUUUAUAGGAAAAACACUGUCAAAAAUUGUACCUGCAAAAAUAAAACAUUUAUAUUGUAUUUACAUGUUAUUGUUCUCUAAAAGAGCUAAAUAUAGAAUCUAUACAUUUGUAAUAAAAGACUCGAUGCUGCAGGAAAUAAACGCAUCCCAUUUACAAAAAGUGCUAAUAAAAAAGAGCGGCUUGCUAACAUCUCUUGUAAAACCACAAACAUUCACAAGAUCCAAAGAGCAAACUUCCAUAAAGGUUGGGAACAUUCAGAACUCAGCUCCACGUUUCACACGACCUACAGAAAUAUGGUUUCCACUGGUGUUCAUCUCUGCUCACUCACAAAGGAGACGGGCACUUUCUGUCAUUAUUCUCAGAAUUCUGGAGCUCAAAGAAGAACAGUGAGGUAAAUUAUAACACUAUUGGGUUAUACGGGCAUCAGGCGAGUCACCACACGUGUGUGGAAAUGCUAACCUAUGUGGUGGAAGGGAAGUGACGACUCAAUUUCUGUGAAAUUCACAUUUUCUGUAGAGUGCGCAGCCCAGUAGCUCUUCAAAGGGAUCAGGUGUCCAGACAGGUUCACUGGAUGAAAUGAGAUUUGUUUAUGGCUGUCAGCCCCCUGCAGGCAGGGCAUGCACACAGCUACACGGAGUCAAACCAUACAAGAACGUGCUGACGCUAUCGCACUAAAUCCCAUCUAUUCACCUUCAGGGCAGGUGUGGCUGACGCUCGUGGAAGUGGUGAAAGCAACAAACAUGAAGCAGACUUGUCUGUGCUGUCACUGCUUGAUACCAGAGUUUAAAAAAGACUCCAACCAAACGAAAAACAAUUCAUAUCCAGCUACAAGAAAUAUGAAACCACAUAUUUAUACCUUCUCAUUUACAACAGAAGCCACAGUGCUGAGCAUGAACCAUCGUUACUGACCUUGGAAACAGCAGUUUAAACAAGACUCAACGCUUGUUUAGUAGAUUCUGUGUGGGAACACUUUCCCAUCUGUCAGUUUGCUGUGGCCCAUCAACCAAACUUUGGUGACAGAGUAACAUACGAGCUAAUACAGUUUGGAUAUGUCAAUUUAGUCCAGGGCACAAAUACACAGGCAUUACUCAAAUACAUACAUUUCCCCCCAUUAAUCAGAAACAUGUCCAUGAAGAAGAAAUCUUCAUUCAAAUGAAAAAACCUCAGAGAAACUCAAAAGCACGUCAAAGUGACGAACCCUAACCCCACAGCAUUUCUCUGUCUACACAUCACCACUCUAACUGGAACCAGUACGCCAUGGGGUGUACGGUGCUUCCUUCAUACUGGACACAAACAUGGAGCGCACUGCCAGCUAUGUUCCACGCCAUCAAUGCAUUCAUGCAGAUGGAGAGAAAAUGUGUUCGUGAACAUCUUUGAAUCGACUCCAUACUCAGUUAUGUACAAAACUCAGAAAUCCAACCGAGAGCAUCGUCUUUGGGACUUCACGUCCAGGAAAUGAAGAUGACGCCUGCGGCCUGUAUGUCUGCAGCCAGCAGAUCUACAGUUUCAGUCACACUUGAAUGAUUCCUGAAUGAAAUCAAGAAUUACAGAUGAAUACGCCCGGCCACUUAGGUCUGCCAGCAGCACGAGUUCAUGUUGUCACGUAGUUACUGUGUGGACUACAGUCCGACACCGUGAUGCUUCAAAGUGUGACUACAAGCUGGCACAAGGUGAGCUCUUAUCCAUUUGUCAAGAUCUUUAACCUCCUAAGACCCGAACUCUUCCACGGCAGCAUUUUUAAUUUCUCUUUGAUAUUUGAUUGGGACCCAAUGAAUGUAAAAACAAAGAAUUACCAGAUUUUUUUUUUCCCUUAUUCUUGUUUUUAAGAAAAAUAAGAGCCACACAUGAGGAUAUUCGUUUAACAUUUUGAUAGAACAGUAGCAGCAUAAUGUCCUCGUAAAAGGAUAUCAGGCCCUUGUAGAGCAAAAUUGAGUAUUUUGGUCUAAAUAACCCAAAAUGUGAUGUCCACAUAGGUGGACGCAGGUCCUAGGAGGUUAAGCAUCUUUCACUCCAAAGGUCAAGAGAACCAACAGCUAACAUGGACGACGAUGCAUCAGCGGUGUCUGAUUUUUAUGACCGGAACACUUGUUGUUCAGCUGAGAUCUGAUGCUAUCCUGAACCAUGUCACGAGAACCAGCCGAUUUAGGCACCUGGAGCUGAGGCAGAGUGGAGCUCCCACUCACUGCCUGCUGCUUCUGACCGAGCAUCAGCCACAUCAGCCCGCUCUGUGAGAAGUCAUCCUUUUGAUCAAAGAAUUUAAAGAAACCACAUUUCAAUAAAAAACCAUUCAAAAUCGUUAUAAUUAAAGAUCCAAAAACACUCCAUGUAUUAACAUCUACCAACUUGACUUUCUUUGUCCAGGAUUUGAGGUUUCUACAUAAAUGAAAAGCACUGUGUGGAUGAACUGUGACGAUCUGUGAGCUGUGAAUCCUUUCAUUUGAACGAUCAUACAGGAGCAGAACUGUUUCAGUCUAACAUGCUGCACACAGGUUUUCACCUCAGAGGCAGGUUUUAGGACUAAAUGUCAAAGAAGUGGUUUCAUCUGUAAAGACCAAUUAAGCACUGCAGUAAGAUGUUUCCUUAUAAACAGGAUUUCAGUUAUUUUCACACACUGUCACACAGCUACGUCUCCCGGGAAGUUGUUUUAGUGCUCAGAUCUUCAUAGAUGUAGCCAGCAGAGACUAAUGUACGACUAGUGUCUGACCAUCAAACUGAUCUAUUUGUCAGCUGUAGUUGAUGCUGGGUUUGCACAACACUGAAACGUUCCCUUCAAGUCACACUUCACAACUUAAGAAAAUGCUCAACAGCCUUUUUAAAAAUGGAACGACAGCCAGGAUGUGACAAAGUAACCAGUAAAAACCAAAAAGCCUUCAUGCCACAGUUGUGUUUAGCUCUUUGUUCAGAGAUCACAAAGCCUGUUUGCUUGGUUAACAUUUUAAAUGACUGAAUUGGACCUUAUUAUUCGUAAGAUAUGAACGUCAGUCAAAGGGAAAAACAUUAGAAGUGAUGCCUGCAGUUUGAUGGUUCAUCAAUGGUAACAUUUGAAACUCCCAGCAUUUCUGUGUUGAAUACCCAACAUGUGGUCUGAUCUCUCUGUAUGUCAUGAUCAUCAAUCAGUCAUGUUGUAGGGCUUAACAUGUUCACCUACACAUGAAACUGGUUUGAGACUGGGAGAAACCCAGUCUCUGGUGGUCCAACCUUGCACAGUGGCCGUCCCAGAUAAAUGUGGGUGCAGUGUGACAUUAGUGCCAAAUGAAACAUGUGGGUCCAUCUGCUGUGGCAGCCCCUGAAAGAAGCAAGCAGCUGAAAAUACUUUAUGACACAUUCUCACAGUUUAGGGCCGUUUUGCCUCCUCAGGUCUUAGAUACCAGAUACCGAGGAAACAUGGGUCACUUAAACUUCACAGCCUAGAGUCAGGUUAGUCUGUGCAAAAGACAACAGGAACUACAGUAGCAACUGAAGGGACAGCGGCAGCAUCCAGGAAGCUCCACUGGGGUCCCACUGUCACUAUGACCAAUUGUGAAACUAUUUUUCUACCACUCAAUAGUCUGUUUUUGAGCCCAACUCAGCAGCACAGACCCUGACAGAGAGGGUGGGCGACACGUGGAUGGGACUGUGUCACUGUUGGUCAUUUUCUGAUAACACUUUCUGGUGUUACUGGACUGUCAGUGUGGAAACUGUGAUCAGACCACAGAUUACAGGUAACCAAUGCAGAAACUCUGGUAAGUCCACAGGCCCAACUUCCAAACACUGAGCAGGUUAUGAGGGUUCAUUCCCAGUUAUUCUAGAUGCGCCUACAGAGCUUCGUAGCAGUGACGUGAUGAGUGAAGCUGACUGAUGAUGAAUUUGGUGUCAGUAGAACAGCUGAUAACACUUACGAUGCAAAGAAACUGAUGGAUGUGCUUUCAGCAGCCAGAGGCACACUGGCUAAUUUACUCUGAAACUGUGAGAAAGAAAUGUUUGCUUUAAAAAGAAGAAGGAGGUACUGCUGUGAACUGCAGGCAACACUGAAUGAUACAGUUAAUGGAAACUUUGGUGGACAACUGUAAUACUGCUGCUCAGUAACUCUGUGUAUAAUAGUGUGAAUGAACCACCACUUUAAUGGAUCCAUCAACAACAUGUUUGUACUGUUCUGUCAACUUCCUGUCUGAGCUCUGCGAGCAAACUGUGCUCCAGUAAGACUGCAC